rnacentral:rRNA from 1 species
GAUGAACGCUGGCGGCAGGCCUAACACAUGCAAGUCGAACGAACCCUUCGGGGUUAGUGGCGGACGGGUGAGUAACACGUGGGAACGUGCCUUUAGGUUCGGAAUAACUCAGGGAAACUUGUGCUAAUACCGAAUGUGCCCUUCGGGGGAAAGAUUUAUCGCCUUUAGAGCGGCCCGCGUCUGAUUAGCUAGUUGGUGAGGUAAUGGCUCACCAAGGCUACGAUCAGUAGCUGGUCUGAGAGGAUGACCAGCCACAUUGGGACUGAGACACGGCCCAAACUCCUACGGGAGGCAGCAGUGGGGAAUCUUGCGCAAUGGGCGAAAGCCUGACGCAGCCAUGCCGCGUGGAUGAUGAAGGUCUUAGGAUUGUAAAAUCCUUUCACCGGUGAAGAUAAUGACUGUAGCCGGAGAAGAAGCCCCGGCUAACUUCGUGCCAGCCGCCGCCGUAA